rnacentral:rRNA from 1 species
GACGAACGCUGGCGGCGUGCUUAACACAUGCAAGUCGAACGGAAAGGCCCUGCUUUUGUGGGGUGCUCGAGUGGCGAACGGGUGAGUAACACGUGAGUAACCUGCCCUUGACUUUGGGAUAACUUCAGGUAACUGGGGCUAAUACCGGAUAGGAGCUCCUGCUGCAUGGUGGGGGUUGGAAAGUUUCGGCGGUUGGGGAUGGACUCGCGGCUUAUCAGCUUGUUGGUGGGGUAGUGGCUUACCAAGGCUUUGACGGGUAGCCGGCCUGAGAGGGUGACCGGCCACAUUGGGACUGAGAUACGGCCCAGACUCCUACGGGAGGCAGCAGUGGGGAAUAUUGCACAGUGGGCGGAAGCCUGAUGCAGCAACGCCGCGUGCGGGAUGACGGCCUUCGGGUUGUAAACCGCUUUCGCCUGUGACGAAGCGUGAGUGACGGUAAUGGGUAAAGAAGCACCGGCUAACUACGUG